rnacentral:rRNA from 1 species
UACGAAGGGGGCUAGCGUUGUUCGGAAUUACUGGGCGUAAAGCGCGCGCAGGCGGCUAUCCAAGUCAGUGGUGAAAGCCCGGAGCUCAACUCCGGAACUGCCAUUGAAACUGUUUAGCUGGAGUAUGAGAGAGGUGAGUGGAACUCCGAGUGUAGAGGUGAAAUUCGUAGAUAUUCGGAAGAACACCAGUGGCGAAGGCGGCUCACUGGUCCGGUACUGACGCUGAGGUGCGAAAGCGUGGGGAGCAAACAGG